UAAGGCGAGGCCGACAGGCGUAGUCGAUGGAUGACGGGUUGAUAUUCCCGUACCCGUGUGCGUGCGACAAGUGAUGAAUCUUAUGGUACUAACCGCCCGCCUACGUGCACUGGUCUUUUUGGUUGGUGUGUGUGGGUGCGUGGGAUCUUCGUGGGUAGUAGUCAAGUGAUGGGGUGACGCAGAGUGGUAGCUAGGCUUCCUUAUUGGAUUGGAGUGCAAGCGUGUGGCCUGUGGGGUUGGGAAAUCCGCCCCACAUAUCAGGUGAGGCGUGAUGCGGACACCAUUUGUGGUGGUAGUUAGUGUGCCUGUGCUGUCUAGAAAAGCCUCUAGCGAGUGCGUGCAUGGCCCGUACCGGAAACCGACACAGGUGGUCAGGUAGAGAAUACUAAGGCGUUCGGGUGAACUGUGGUUAAGGAACUCGGCAAAAUGCCCCCGUAACUUCGGGAGAAGGGGGACCAUUACUAGUUGCUGACAGCAUUAUAGCUGGUGGUGGUCGCAGAGGAGAGAGGGAAGCGACUGUUUAUUAAAAACACAGGUCCGUGCGAAAACGUGGAAGUUGAGGUAUACGGACUGACGCCUGCCCGGUGCUGGAAGGUUAAGAGGACCCGUGAGCACGCCUUAUGUGUGUGCGAGGCGGAGAAUUGAAGCCCCAGUAAACGGCGGUGGUAACUAUAACCAUCCUAAGGUAGCGAAAUUCCUUGUCGGGUAAGUUCCGACCUGCACGAAUGGCGUAACGACUUCCCUGCUGUCUCAACCACAGGCCCGGUGAAAUUGCAGUACGAGUAAAGAUGCUCGUUUCGCGCGGCAGGACGAAAAGACCCCGGGACCUUUACUAUAGCUUGGUAUUGGUGUUUGGUCAUGCUUGUGUAGGAUAGGUGGGAGACUGUGAAACCGCAACGCUAGUUGUGGUGGAGUCGGCCAGUGAAAUACCACUCUGGUGUGAUUGGGUACCUGAACCUUGGCCCGUGAUCCGGGUUGGGGACAGUGCCUGGUGGGUAGUUUAACUGGGGCGGUUGCCUCCUAAAUGGUAACGGAGGCGCCCAAAGGUUUCCUCAGUCUGGUUGGCAAUCAGAUGGUGAGUGUAAGUGUAUAAGGGAGCUUGACUGUGACACUGACGGGUGGAGCAGGUGCGAAAGCAGGGACUAGUGAUCCGGCA
rnacentral:rRNA from 1 species